rnacentral:rRNA from 1 species
AUUGAACGCUGGCGGCAUGCCUUACACAUGCAAGUCGAACGGCAGCACGGGAGCAAUCCUGGUGGCGAGUGGCGAACGGGUGAGUAAUAUAUCGGAACGUGCCCAGUCGUGGGGGAUAACGUGGCGAAAGCUACGCUAAUACCGCAUACGAUCUAUGGAUGAAAGCGGGGGAUCGCAAGACCUCGCGCGAUUGGAGCGGCCGAUAUCAGAUUAGGUAGUUGGUGAGGUAAAGGCUCACCAAGCCGACGAUCUGUAGCUGGUCUGAGAGGACGACCAGCCACACUGGGACUGAGACACGGCCCAGACUCCUACGGGAGGCAGCAGUGGGGAAUUUUGGACAAUGGGCGCAAGCCUGAUCCAGCAAUGCCGCGUGCAGGAUGAAGGCCUUCGGGUUGUAAACUGCUUUUGUACGGAACGAAACGGCGAGCUCUAAUACAGUUUGCUAAUGACGGUUCCGUAAGAAUAAGCACCGGCUAACUACGUGCCAGCCGCCGCGGUAA